rnacentral:rRNA from 1 species
CGGCGGACGGGUGAGUAACACGUGGAUAACCUACCUAUAAGACUGGGAUAACUUCGGGAAACCGGAGCUAAUACCGGAUAAUAUAUUGAACCGCAUGGUUCAAUAGUUAAAGACGGUUUUGCUGUCACUUAUAGAUGGAUCCGCGCCGCAUUAGCUAGUUGGUAAGGUAACGGCUUACCAAGGCAACGAUGCGUAGCCGACCUGAGAGGGUGAUCGGCCACACUGGAACUGAGACACGGUCCAG